rnacentral:rRNA from 1 species
GAUGAACGCUAGCGGCAGGCUUAAUACAUGCAAGUCGAGGGGUAACAUGGUAGCAAUACUGAUGACGACCGGCAAACGGGUGCGGAACACGUACAGAACCUUCCUUUAAGCGGGGGAUAGCCCAUAGAAAUGUGGAUUAAUACCCCAUAGUAAUAUUGUCUGGCAUCAGAUGGUAUUUAAAGAUUUAUCACUUAAAGAUGGCUGUGCGGCUGAUUAGGUAGUUGGUGNGGGUACGGCCCACCAAGCCAGCGAUCAGUAACUGGUGUGAGAGCACGACCAGUCACACGGGCACUGAGACA